CGGAAUCAUCCUUCCACAUAAUUAUAGGAAAAAACCAAAAAGCUUCUGCUCCACGUAACUGAACCAAUUCCUGGAACUGCAAAAGGUAAGACUUAGCAAUAUAAAUUUGGGUGUUAUCCAAUGCCUAAUUGAGCACAAUCCAUUACUUGGCAAUCUGAGAAUGGGCUUGUUUGGGGUGCACUAGAGGGAUUAAAUCUGGAAAUGAAUUGAUUUUCCUCCUUGCUUCCGGUUUGAUUCAAUAAAUUAGAAUAAAUAUAGUUUUACUUUGAAAGAAAGAACGAAGUCAAAGGGUUCAACACUCACGUUUCUUGCUUUCCAAUCUCGGGUUAGUUUUUUCUCGAGGGGUUUCAGCACACUGCUGUAUUUUGGUCCAGUUAUUCGGUCUUUCCUCAACCUUUCCUGCCUCUCUUCUAUGGCAUUCAAGGACCCAAACUUGAGGCAUUCCCCCAUGGCAUGUCGCCCUUUUUUUUAUUAUUUUUAUAUAUUUGUAAAAUACUGUGAGUUAAACUUGCAGUUCACUAUCGAGAGAUAUUUUGUCCCAAGGUUGGCUGUUCUUCAGUGCCUUGUUCCUCUGUGCGAAGUGGGAAGGAAACUGUAAGGUUGCCACAUAUGCUUCGGCAGAUGGGCUUGGGUGCGGCCCAUUGAAUCAACCAACAGCUGCCAUGCCAGGGCCCCGGCAAAUAGCCUUCGCGAGACCUUGUUUUCAUUUAUCGUUUUUUAUUGAAGUAUUUGGAAUUCAAUUCAAUUCUAAAUAAAAUUAUUUAAAAUAACUUUUAAAUAAAAUACAAUUUGCAGAA
rnacentral:lncRNA from 1 species